GACGUAGGGCGCGAGCGUUUGUCCGGAUUUAUUGGGCGUAAAGAGCUCGUAGGCGGCUUGUCGCGUCGACUGUGAAAUCCCGCGGCUCAACUGCGGGUCUGCAGUCGAUACGGGCAGGCGUAGAGUUCGGUAGGGGAGACUGGAAUUCCUGGUGUAGCGGUGAAAUGUGGUAGACGAUCCCGAGGAAUACCAGUGGUGGAAGACGGCGCCCUGGGGCCGAUACUGACGCUGGAGAAUGCGAAAGCGUGGGGAGCGAACGGG
rnacentral:rRNA from 1 species